UCUUGAAGAAUCUGCAGACUGUAUUUUUUGAAUAUCCGUUCUUCUUGAAUACGUUGUAUAGGUGGUUCUCCUCUGUUUUCCGAAGUUCACCUGUGCUGCA